rnacentral:rRNA from 1 species
AUUGAACGCUGGCGGCAGGCCUAACACAUGCAAGUCGAGCGAGCGGCGGAGGGGGGCGUAAUGUAUGGGGACUGCCCGAAAGAGGGGGAUAACUACUGGAAAAGGUAGCUAAUACCGCAUACUAUCGGAUAACCCAUAUGGGAUUAGCUAGUAGGUGAGGUAAUGGCUCACCUAGGCGACGAUCCAUAGCUGGUCUGAGAGGAUGAUCGGCCACACUGGGACUGAGACACGGCCCAGACUCCUACGGAGGCAGCAGUGGGGAAUCUUGCACAAUGGGCGCAAGCCUGAUGCAGCCAUGCCGCGUGUAUGAAGAAGGCUCUAGGGUUGUAAAGUACUUUCAGUCGAGAGGCGUUACCUACAGAAGAAGCCCCGGCUAACUCCGUGCCAGCAGCCGCGGUAAUUC